GUUUAAAUGCCCCUUUUCUGGGAGGCUUUCUGUUAGGCAACGUACAGCGUGGUCUGGUCAACGUACAGCGUGCAACCGGAAGAUGGGUGCGCGCACUGCGCCGGAAAGAGACCAGAGACUUUUUUCUCAAGAAGACCAUGGCGGGGCGAAAGACGUCUCAAAGGACAUCUUCAAACUUUGAAAUCAGUGAUUCUGACGAUGACGAUGACAAUGAAGAAAUAUCCAAAGUUAUUAGGAACCUGGAUGCUAAGAUUCAAGAGAAAGAGAGCCGUGAGCCGGCGCUUCAAUGGCGAAAACGAGACCAAUUUGGGAGGCUGAUUGGAAAGAGUCACGGUUCAUCAAAAAUGUACUCCUCCACACGUCAGACACAGUCAUCAAAUAUUGGUGAAGAACAUGUGGAAGACAGCACAGGCCCAUUGACCUCUGAGUUGCAAGAGACCCACAACAUGAUUGACCUUCAUAUACAGGAGCUGCAGCAAAUGCUCGAUGCAGUUGGGGAGGAUGUUGCCGGAGGCUCCACAGAAGCCUCAUCCUCUUCAUCUCAAACAUGGAGCGUACGUCAGGCAUUAUCGGGAGAAAGAUGGCGAAAUGCUAGACCUCAGCUUCUUGAAGCCAUGCUGGAAGCAGGAAGGGUCCCGAAGGGCUUUUGCCAACUGUGCCAUGUUAAAGAGGCAGUCAUUAGCUGCACUGACUGCCUGCAGAAACACAUGUUGUGCUCUCAGUGCGACAUCACUCUACAUCGGCAAUACAGUUUGCAUAACCGAUCUUCGGUUGUCGGGAGCAGUCACAGAGCCCUUCCUCCAACGGAUAUCUUUGUCCAUGAUGCGAGUGGUGAGCCAACACUGGGCGAAGAAGUACGUCUCCUUCCAUUUGCGUUGCCCAAAAGCAUUUGCAGUAAGGCUGAAAAUGUGUCAGUGGUGGGCAAAAAAUUAUCUUGGUCAACAUGAAUGGUCGCUAUGAUCUCUCUGUUCCACUGCUGACAUGUGAAAGUUACAAAUGCAAAUGGACACCACAGAUUAAGGACUUUAUAUUAAAUGGUUACUGGCCUGGGACAAUUGAUUUCCAGACAGUGUUUGCUAUUGAGGUUUUCUCUUCAUUUGAAGACCUUAAAAUCUGUGCUCCUGGUCUGAGUAGACAUGCAUUUGUCCGACUGUUGGAAAGUCGCUCAGUUCGUGCUGGCAGGGUUGGCACAGUCUCAUCCGAAAAUCUCCAGAAGAGCUUUUUGGAGUGGACAUAUUGCCGGCACGAGAUUGAUUUACUUCUAGGCGAUGACCAUUUCUCCUGUCCUGCUUGUGGAGAUGAUAUGGUGGCAGUGUCUCUGGAUGGCAACAGGAAAAUGUACCGCUUCAAUCGCAAGGGGGCAGAUGAAUCCCCCUACUUUGAAGGGACUUUUGUCGCCAAAGACACUGAAGUGGAGGCAUUUGUGUCAAGGAUUCGCCAUCAAGUCAAAACUGUGAGUUUUACUGUUUUCUUUUAACAUUUUGUUUGUGCUAAGUUCUUGUUAGAUUGCUGUAAAAUGCAUAAGAUGCCGUCACUUUUUGGAAUAGGUGAACUUUUUCUUGUUUCAUUAGGCACCUGGACGCCCAUCCUGCGGUAAAUCCACGUUUAAAGCAGGCAUGGAGGCUACCAGAAAGUCUGAGACCAGACUGGACGAAGAGGGCAUGAUGACAUCCGUCUGCAGGCACUGCAUUCUCUUCAGUGGCCUCAACAUGUUUCGAGGAGAAAUAUUUGCCUACCCUCUGUACCUACAGCAAGAUCUUGGUGAAAAACACAAGAUAGAGUUUGUUUGCACAGACGUUAUGUGUAAAUACUACCCAUAUGUGCAGAGGGUAGUUGAGAAAUUUCCAGAGCUGCAGUAUGUCCUGCAGAUGCGACCAUUUUUAUCCGUGAUGCAUGCGAAAGGUCACUCAACGAGAUGUGAGGUUGAGUGGAGUGGUCGCAACCAGAAGGGGGCAGGUCUGACAGUUGGUGAGGAAGUGGAAAUGGUAAAUUCUUACCUCUCACGUGUAGCGACUACCACCAAAUACAUGAAAAAAGCAAGACGCACCGACAUGAUAACGCUUCAUGCUCGUGGUUGGAACAUGGGAAAGGUGAAAGUCUUGCACAGAUACCUAGCCAAAAGAUAUAUCAAG
ensembl:lncRNA